rnacentral:rRNA from 1 species
UGAGGAACAUGACCUUCGGCGGGGGAGUAGCCGGCCCAACGGCCGGGUAAUACCGCGUACGACCACAUGGGGACAUCCCUGAGUGGUGAAAGCAGCAAUGCGCCGAUGGAGUGCCUCGCGGCCUAUCAGCUAGUUGGUGGGGUAACGGCUCACCAAGGCAACGAUGCGUAGCCGACCUGAGAGGGUNAUCGGCCANAUUGGAACUGAGACACGGUCCAGACUCCGUAGGGAGG